rnacentral:rRNA from 1 species
UACAGAGGUCUCAAGCGUUGUUCGGAUUCAUUGGGCGUAAAGGGUGCGUAGGCGGCGCGGUAAGUCGGGUGUGAAAUCUUGGAGCUUAACUCCGAGACUGCAUUCGAUACUGCCGUGCUUGAGGACUGGAGAGGAGACUGGAAUUUACGGUGUAGCGGUGAAAUGCGUAGAUAUCGGGAGGAACACCAAUGGCGGAGGCAGCUCGCUGGGACGUUACUGACGCUGAGACGCGAAAGCGUGGGGAGCAAACAGG